GCCGCCUCCGCCUCCGCUUUCCGCUCGCGCCGCCGCCGCUCACGCCCUCUCCUCCCUCUCCCUCUCCCUCUCCCACCGCCACCGCUCCGCGCCGCCGUCCCCACCUCCGCCUCGCGCCGCCGCUGCGUCAUCUCCGGCCUCCGUCGCACGCCGACGUCUCCGCCUCCGCCUCUCGCCGUCGCUUGCCCCUCGCGCCACCGCGUCCGCCUCCCCUCGCGCCGCCGUGUCCACCGUCGCCGCCGCGGCAGCGUCCAGCUCGGCCGCGGCGGCUACGUCCACCGCCGUCGCCGCCGCCGCGUCCACCUCCUCCUCCCUCCUCGCUUGCACUCGCUGCUCUCUCUCUCUCUCUCUCCCAUCUCGUCCUCGCUUCCUGCUGGAGCUCGGAACUCAAGCCAUUUUCGUGGCCGCGGGGGAACCCUAACCCUAGCCGCGCAGGCCGUGCGUGCGGGAGAGCGAGCGAGCGCCGCGGGGGCGUCCCGGUGGAGGGAGGGGGUGUGGGCCGCCGAUCCGAUUCGCUUGCCGCCCUAGGUUCCGAAGCGUAACGGGCUGCACAUGGUCACCGGCCCAUGUCUUCUGCUUCUCCACGGCCGCCACCCCCACACCAUCCAAGCCGCAAGAUGGUGACCACUUCCACAGAGAUUUUCGUUUGUACUCGAUCCUGCCUUCCUUGACCUUUUUUUCUUUUCUUCUUUGUUCUUUGUUGUUCUCUUGUGCACAGGUGAGCAAGAGAGCCGUGCAAGCAACUUCUUUUCCUCAUUCUUUCCCUGCUGCAGUUCGGCCACGUCUACGUUGUCGCAUCAAGGAGAGCUUCUUUGGGCAAGCUGUUCUGGACAGUAUCAAAGGGAGAGUUCCUCUUACUAGACUAGAGAGUUAACAAUUUACUAUUAUGGAUAUCUGAUGACAAUACCAUGAGAUCAGUGAGUCUGAAAUUUUCACUUUUUUAUCUUAUUUGACAGUGCAACAUCUAGCGGGAUACUCGAUGGAGCUAUAGAUUCAGAAGCUAGGAAACAUGUCGACUUCAAGGGUUUGCGACUCUUGGAAUCAUUGUACUCGUCAGUCAAUGCAAGAGCUUACCCUGGCUGCAUGAAAGCUGGUUCAAUCCUGGUUCAGAACCAUUCUUAGGAGUGUAAGAAUUAAAGAUACCCUGACGCUGAGUAUUGGGAAUUUGGCGAACGGGGGAACAAAAACUUACAUCAUGCAAUCGAUCAAUUCUAUGCAAUCUCGAAGGAUUUGGUUUCUUACAUAUUAAUCAAUCAGGGUGACAUUUCAAUCCUGUUCCACACAAAUAUGCUAAUGAGGAUGUAUCAUUAGGAGCUUCGCUUAUCGGUCUAGAUGUCAGUCCAACACAUCGGCGAUGUAGGCUUUGCUGUGGUACUCAACCAGUCACAGAUUUUACAGAAGUGCUCUGGUUCAGUCACAGAUCACAUGCACGAUGCUGAUCCUGCCACUUGCCCUGGUGGACGCGGUCGUCUUUGCGGCCGCGCACUGCUUCACUAAGCAUAUGCGCAAGCUGCAGUGUGCUACCGUCACCGUCCGCGCGCGGUGCCAGGCCGAUGGCCGCCUCACCUUCUGACAGCUCCUCGACCUCGUGGAUGAGUCCCGCAGCUGUUUUGUCCCCGCAUCCUGAUCGAUGUCUCGAAGAUCGACAUGUCCGCAAUUGUUCUUGGGUUCGAGAUAUCAAUGCCCGUAAUGAUUGCUCCCAGUGCCAUGCAGAAGAUGGCUCACCCUGACGGAGAGUAUGCAACUGCCAUGGCAGCUUCAGCAGGAGGAACUAUAAUGACAGUCAUCUUGGGCUACUUCAAGUGUUGAGGAGGUCGCCUCAACUGGGCCUUGAAUCUGUUUCUUCCAGCUAUAUAUGCAGCCGUACAGGUACAGGAAUGUGGUUGAGCAGUUCGUCAGAAGAGCCGAGAGAGCUGGGUUCAAGGCGAUUGCACUGACCGUGGACACUCCGUGGCUGGGACGUAGGGAGGCUGACAUCAAGAACAGGUUUAUAUACUAAUAGAACGGUGAUUCCAAACAAUGCUUGCUACCACUUGGUUCCUUGCAUAAUUUUCAGGCGGCUAGACUUCAAUUAUGGGUAAUGCGCCUCGGUUGAGCCCAUAGUCUGGCGUAGAACUAUUGCCACCAAUGUGUAUAUACAAUCUUUUUAGAAAAUGAGAUAAACCUGGCCUCUACAUCCAACCGAAUGUACACGACCAAAUGUGUAUGUACAGUCUACCAGCCUCUGUAGUCGUAUUGAUUUUGAAAUUGUCUUAUGCUAUAUCCGAUGUAUGUGCCUGUUUAAUUAUACUAGCAUUGUUGUACAUGACCAACCAUAUGUACAUUAGAAAGUACGAACAAGAUGUGCACAUUAUCCUUAUCGUCGCGUUUGACUAUAGCUUUUGUCACAUCUUUUGUCAACAGAUACCUUUUAUAUAAACCACUACACUAUUAUCUCCUUUA